AUGUCGUAAUGUGGACAUUUCUAUAACAAAUCGUUCAAACGCUCCCAUGCUUCCUGCAAAGGUUCUCCUUUGUUUUGGGAGAAUUCAUGGAUAUAAGCUCUCAUAGCAU